UACGAAGGGGGCUAGCGUUGCUCGGAAUCACUGGGCGUAAAGGGUGCGUAGGCGGGUUAUUAAGUCAGAGGUGAAAUCCUGGAGCUCAACUCCAGAACUGCCUUUGAUACUGAUAGUCUUGAGUAUGGGAGAGGUGAGUGGAACUGCGAGUGUAGAGGUGAAAUUCGUAGAUAUUCGCAAGAACACCAGUGGCGAAGGCGGCUUACUGGUCCGGAACUGACGCUGAGGUGCGAAAGCGUGGGGAGCAAACAGG
rnacentral:rRNA from 1 species